rnacentral:SRP_RNA from 1 species
GGAUUGGUCCCAGGCAAUGGAGGCGUGUGAACCUGGUCAGAGCUUGACGGCAGCAGCCAUAAGCAUUGUUAUCCAUGUGCCCUGGGGAAACCAGUCCUCC